UGCCAGCAGCCGCGGUAAUACGGAGGGUGCAAGCGUUAUCCGGAUUCACUGGGUUUAAAGGGUGCGUAGGUGGGUUGGUAAGUCAGUGGUGAAAUCCCCGAGCUUAACUUGGGAACUGCCAUUGAUACUAUUAGUCUUGAAUACCGUGGAGGUCGGCGGAAUAUGUCAUGUAGCGGUGAAAUGCUUAGAUAUGACAUAGAACACCAAUUGCGAAGGCAGCUGGCUACACGAGUAUUGACACUGAGGCACGAAAGCGUGGGGAUCAAACAGGAUUAGAUA
rnacentral:rRNA from 1 species